GACGAACGCUGGCGGCGUGCUUAACACAUGCAAGUCGAACGGAAAGGCCCUGCUCUUGUGGGGUGCUCGAGUGGCGAACGGGUGAGUAAAACGUGAGUAACCUGCCCUUGACUUUGGGAUAACUUCAGGAAACUGGGGCUAAUACCGGAUAGGAGCUCCUGCUGCAUGGUGGGGGAUGGAAAGUUUCGGCGGUUGGGGAUGGACUCGCGGCUUAUCAGCUUGUUUGUGGGGUAGUGGCUUACCAAGGCUUUGACGGGUAGCCGGCCUGAGAGGGUGACCGGGCACAUUGGGACUGAGAUACGGCCCAGACUGCUACGGGAGGCAGCAGUGGGGAAUUUUGCACAAUGGGCGGAAGCCUGAUGCAGCAACGCCGCGUGCGGGAUGAUGGCCUUUGGGUUGUAAACCGAUUUCGCCGGUGACAAACAGUGCGUGACGGUAACUGGUCAAGAAGCCCCGGCUAACUACGUG
rnacentral:rRNA from 1 species